rnacentral:rRNA from 1 species
UACGUAGGUGGCAAGCGUUGUCCGGAUUUAUUGGGUUUAAAGGGUGCGUAGGCGGCCCUAUAAGUCAGUGCUGAAAUAUCCCGGCUUAACCGGGAGGGUGGCAUUGAUACUGUAGGGCUUGAGUGUAGUCGAGGUAGGCGGAAUUGACGGUGUAGCGGUGAAAUGCUUAGAUAUCGUCAAGAACACCGAUAGUGGAGACAGCUUACUAGGCUACAACUGACGCUGAGGCACGAAAGUGUGGGGAUCAAACAGG